UACGUAGGGUGCGAGCGUUAAUCGGAAUUACUGGGCGUAAAGGGUGCGCAGGCGGAUAUGUAAGUUAGAUGUGAAAUCCCCGGGCUUAACCUGGGAAUGGCAUUUAAGACUGCAUGUCUAGAGUUUGUCAGAGGGGGGUAGAAUUCCAAGUGUAGCAGUGAAAUGCGUAGAGAUUUGGAGGAAUACCGGUGGCGAAGGCGACCCCCUGGGAUAAAACUGACGCUCAGGCACGAAAGCGUGGGUAGCAAACAGG
rnacentral:rRNA from 1 species